ACCUGACAUCAUUUUAUUUAUCAAGAUUAUUAAAAAGAUUUUAAACUCUCCAUAACCUACAAAUAAACCCUGAUUCUAACCCCCACCCUACUCCUACCCUAACCAAAUGAAACCAGUGAAUAUAAAAUUGUUUACUUUAAAAAUCAUGUCCUAGGUAACCUUAAAAUAUAAAACCCUUAUUCUAACCCCCACCCUAUUCCUACCCUAACCAAAUGAAACCAGUGAAUAUAACAUUUUUUACUUUAAAAAUCAUGUCCUAGGUAACCUAAAAAUAUAAAACGCUGAUCCUAACCCCCAUCCUAAAGGCCAUUUUCCACUCCAACUGUAUCGAAGUGUAGCAAACUUCUGUGUUUCCUGAGCACACCAGAGUGGAACUAAUGACUUUGACACAAACAAAAAUGCUACAAUACAUUAUGGCUGUUAUAAUUGCGACUGUAAAAAUGAAAUUAGCUGCAUGAGUACUUCAUUUUGAGAUCUAUUACGACUAUAAAAGUCAAAUUAGCCGACCUCGUUUUGAGAUGGCGUUUCCG